CGCUACGGUUUAAAGCCGUAGAAAUAAAAAUGCGGAAACAACUCACCUCGCGCGUUCCUUUUUCUUCUUCCGCCUCCCGUGAAAAAAACAAAAAACUAAAAAAUUUCACCUCCCUCCCACUCUCGUGAGAAAAAAAGCCCAAACCCUCCUUUCCCUAAACAUCUCCUCUCUCUCUAUCUCCCCAACCCUCUCUCACGAAUGCUCCCCACUCACGAACCCUCUCUCAUGAAUACUUCCCUCUCACAAACCCCUCUUCUCUCCUUAACCAUCCCCUCUCUCUCAAUCUCACGAAGACUCCCCUCUCUCACGCCAUAAUCGACAUCCCUGCUGCUCGAUCGUGUCUCUUUUUGUUCCUUUUUAGAAUCCUCAGAUGAUGCCUCUCAAGUAAACGAUGAUGAAAAUGCACUUAUGGGUUUCUUUGAUGACUCAAAGGGAAUGCUUCUGGAAGGGAAGUUAUGUUGGUGGCAAGCUUCACCGGCUCUGGUUUAGAAGCUAUGUCUGAAUUUGUGUUGGUGCAAGUUGUGAAUCUGAAGUAAUGGUGGAAUUGGCUGCAAAGCUAGUUUAUAUCCCAUUGCAUAUUCAGAAGUUCCUCUUUUGAAGCAUAAGUUGGAGGUUGUGGAGGCUUUCCAU